GAUGAAGAACGUAGCGAAAUGCGAUAAGAAAUGUGAAUUGCAGAAUUCAGUGAAUCAUCGAAUCUUUGAACGCACAUUGCGCCCGCCAGUAUUCUGGCGGGCAUGCCUGUCUGAGCGUCAUUUCAACCCUCAUGCCCCUAGGGCGUGGUGUUGGGGAUCGGCCAAAGCCCGCGAGGGACGGCCGGCCCCUAAAUCUAGUGGCGGACCCGUCGUGGCCUCCUCUGCGAAGUAGUGAUAUUCCGCAUCGGAGAGCGACGAGCCCCUGCCGUUAAACCCCCAACUUUCCAAGGUUGACCUCAGAUCAGGUAGGAAUACCCGCUGAACUUAAGCAUAUCAAUAAGCGGAGGA
rnacentral:misc_RNA from 1 species